GAUUGUAAUAAGCACAAGUUUCAGCCAAAACGUUUUGCCUCAACAAUCAGUCUCCGAUUUCCCUCCUCUCUUACUAGCCGCUGAUGCCGCCUUUCAGAUCUCCAAUAACCCUCAAACCACCACCUAAAAACGUAAACAUAAGCCGCUUCAAAACCAGUGCAUACUUGCGUUGAGACUGAUUCCCUACAAUGUUCCAUCUCUUCUCUCCUCAUACAUCUCCACCAACGGCUUUGACUAUAUCCUUUCUCCACUGAUGGCCCUUCGUAUAGGCCGAUAUUAGUGGAAGGAAACAGACACUCAAGUUCUACCCGUCUCUGGCUCUGAAUUACUCUUACAGUUUUGUUUAAUGUGAUUCUACUAUGAAGUUAUGGUUGAGGGCUCCGCUGGUGAACUCUGAUGGUGAUUCAUGGGAUGCAUUCC